rnacentral:rRNA from 1 species
UACGUAGGUGGCAAGCGUUAUCCGGAAUUAUUGGGCGUAAAGCGCGCGCAGGCGGUUUCUUAAGUCUGAUGUGAAAGCCCACGGCUCAACCGUGGAGGGUCAUUGGAAACUGGGGAACUUGAGUGCAGAAGAGAAAAGCGGAAUUCCACGUGUAGCGGUGAAGUGCGUAGAGAUGUGGAGGAACACCAGUGGCGAAGGCGGCUUUUUGGUCUGUAACUGACGCUGAGGCGCGAAAGCGUGGGGAGCAAACAGG